ensembl:lncRNA
UUUUCCCACAAUUUUUGAGGUUUUUCCUGGUUUUUCCCUGCAGUUUUUUGGCAUUUUUUCCUGGAUUUUUGGGGCAUUUUUUCUGUAUUUUUUUGGGAUUUUCCCCCAGAUUUUUGAGAUUUUCCCACAGUUUUUGAGGUUUUUCCCUGCAGUUUUUUGGCAUUUUUUCCUGGAUUUUUGGGGCUUUUUUUCCUGGAUUUUUUUGGGAUUUUUCCCACAGUUUUGGCAUUUUUCCUGGAUUUUUGGGGCUUUUUUUCCUGGAUUUUUUUUGGAUUUUCCCCCACAUUUUUUGAGGUUUUUCCCUGUAGUUUUUUGGCAUUUUUCCUGGAUUUUUAGAGGUUUUUUUCCUGGAUUUUUUUGGGAUUUUCCCCCAGAUUUUUUGGGAUUUUUCCCACAGCUUUUGAGGUUUUUCUCUGCAGUUUUUUGGGAUUUUUUCCCUGGAUUUUUGGAGCUUUUUUCCCUGGAUUUUUUUGGGAUUUUCCCCCAAUUUUUUGGGGGUUUUUCCCCCAGUUUUUCCCCAGAUUUUUGGGAUUCUCCCCACAGUUUUUGGGGUUUUUCCCUGCAGUUUUUUGGCAUUUUUUCCCGGAUUUUUGAGGCUUUUUUCCUGGAUUUUUCCCCCAGUUUUUUGGCCUUUUUCCCACAGGUUUUUGGCAUUAUUUUCUGGAUUUUUGGGGCUUUUUCUCCUGGAUUUUUUGGGGAUUUUCUCCCAGUUUUUCCCACAACUUUUGAGAUUUUUCCCUGCAGUUUUUUGGGAAUUUUUCUGGAUUUUUGGGUUUAAUCUCCUGGAUUUUUUGGGGAUUUUUCCCACAGUUUUUGAGAUUUUUCCCUGCAGUUUUUUGGCAUUUUUUUCCUGGAUUUUUAGAGGUUUUUUUCUGGAUUUUUUGGGUGUUUUUCCCCAGAUUUUUGAGGUUUUUCCCUGCAGUUUUUUGGCAUUUUUUCCCGGAUUUUUUGGGCUUUUUUUUCCUUUUUUCCUGGGCUUUUUUGGGGAUUUUGCCAGUUUUUU